rnacentral:rRNA from 1 species
CCUACGGGGGGCUGCAGUGGGGAAUAUUGGACAAUGGGGGGAACCCUGAUCCAGCCAUGCCGCGUGUGUGAAGAAGGCCCUCGGGUUGUAAAGCACUUUCAGUGAGGAAGAACGCCUGGUGGUUAAUACCCAUCAGGAAAGACAUCACUCACAGAAGAAGCACCGGCUAACUCCGUGCCAGCAGCCGCGGUAAUACGGAGGGUGCGAGCGUUAAUCGGAAUUACUGGGCGUAAAGCGCGCGUAGGUGGCUUGAUAAGCCGGUUGUGAAAGCCCCGGGCUCAACCUGGGAACGGCAUCCGGGCGGCCAGGCUGAAGUGCAAGUGAGGGUGGGGACGGCCCCGGUGGCGAGGGGAAUUGUGUAGUGAGCGGGAGGAGCAUGAGUGGCGAAGGCGGCCUUCUGGACGGACACGGCCACGGGGGUGGGAGGGCGUGGGUAGCACCCAGGACUAGAUAGCCCAGUGGGC